rnacentral:lncRNA from 1 species
CGGUUGAGGCCUCUCGGGUUGCUCCAGGCUCAUGGUGAUUCGAGUUUACAACUUUAUAUUUUAGUUGAAGAGAAUGGAUUGUACUUUUUUUUUUUUUUGUAUUGGAUGGUUUUAAAAAUGUAAUGGGGGGAAAUUGGAGGAAUGCAAACGCAAGAAAUAGUCGCCCAAGUACGCCACCCAAGGACACGAGCAAAAUUGCACCAAAACCCAACGAAACCUCAUUUUAAUCGGUUCAAGUGAAAGAUAAUUCAUCAAAGAGUAAUGUAAUCGGAGUAAAAUUAAUUUUAAACGGUGCAAAAGUGAGAAAACAAACCUGAAAAACGUAGCCUGUGGAAAGAAAACACGAGGAAGAUGAUGAACAAUUAGUGCACGUAACUGUUGUCUCGCGUUCGCGGUGUUUUAAUGCAGACACUUAGAAGUCGGUUCUCCCAUAGCCGAUGUCUAAAUGGAGUCAAAAAAUAACUUUUUAGAUUUUUAGGCUGAGUAUUUAGAAGACGGACCCC